UUAAUAUUAGGUCAGGCCUGCCCACUGUAUUUAUAAUAUAAAUGGCCGCAGUAAUUUGACUGUGCGAAGGUAGCAUAAUCAUUUGUUUAUUAAUUGUAAGCUAGAAUGAAUGGUUUGAUGAAAUAUUAUCUUUCUUUAUAUUAUUAUUAAUGAAUUUAAUAUUUAAGUUAAAAAGCUUAAAUAUUUUUAUAGGACGAGAAGACCCUAUAGAAUUUUAUUAUUUUAUAAUUAUUAUUUAUUUUGUUUAAUAUUAAGUUUUGAUUAUUAUAUUAAUUUUGUUGGGGCGACAUGGAAAUUUCAUUAACUUUCUGUAUUUAUUAUUUAUUGAUUUAUAUAUUUAAUGAUCCCUUAUUAUGGAUUUUAAGAUUAAAUUACCUUAGGGAUAACAGCGUAAUUCUUUCGGAGAGUUCUUAUCGAUGAAAGAGUUUGCGACCUCGAUGUUGGAUUAAAUUUAGAAUUGGGUGUAGUAGCUUAAGUUUUCUAGGUCUGUUCGA
rnacentral:rRNA from 1 species